CACAAACAGAAAAAAACAUGGCUACUACGAACACAAAACGUAUUGUCUAUGUUGGUGGUCUAGCAGAGGAGGUGGAUGAAAAAAUUCUCCAUGCAGCCUUUAUACCUUUUGGUGACAUCACAGACAUACAGAUUCCACUGGAUUAUGAAACAG